AGUAAUGCGUGACCAACCUCGCCCCAUGCUCCAGAAUAGCUCUUGGAAACGGGUGGUAAUGCUGGAUGCUCCAACUUGACGCAUGUCUUGUUGGGAAAGUGUUUAGUGGCAUGGGAUGGGGUCGCGUCCUAUCAGCUUGUAGGCGGGGUAAUGGCCCACCUAGGCUUCGACGGGUAGCCGGCCUGAGAGGGCGGACGGCCACAUUGGGACUGAGAUACGGCCCAGACUCCUACGGGAGGCAGCAGAG
rnacentral:rRNA from 1 species